AAUCAACGCUGGCGGCGUGCCUCAGACAUGCAAGUCGAACGAUUAAAGCUCUCUUCGGAGAGUGCAUAGAGUGGCGCACGGGUGAGUAACACGUAAGUAAUCUACCCUCGAGUGGGAAGUAACGUCCGGAACGGACGCUAAUACCGCAUAAUGCAGCGGCACCGCAAGGUGACAGUUGUUAAAGAUUUAUUCGCUUGAGGAGGAGCUUGCGGCAGAUUAGCUAGUUGGUAAGGUAAUGGCUUACCAAGGCUACGAUCUGUAACCGGUCUUAGAGGACGGUCGGUCACACUGACACUGAAUAACGGGUCAGACUCCUACGGGAGGCAGCAGUC
rnacentral:rRNA from 1 species